rnacentral:rRNA from 1 species
UACAGAGGUCUCAAGCGUUGCUCGGAAUCACUGGGCGUAAAGGGUGCGUAGGCGGGUCUUUAAGUCAGAGGUGAAAUCCUGGAGCUCAACUCCAGAACUGCCUUUGAUACUGAAGAUCUUGAGUUCGGGAGAGGUGAGUGGAACUGCGAGUGUAGAGGUGAAAUUCGUAGAUAUUCGCAAGAACACCAGUGGCGAAGGCGGCUCACUGGCCCGAUACUGACGCUGAGGCACGAAAGCGUGGGGAGCAAACAGG